rnacentral:rRNA from 1 species
UACGGAAGGUGCAAGCGUUGUUCGGAAUGACUGGGCGUAAAGAGCACGUAGGCGGGUUUGUAAGUCGGUUGUGAAAGCCCCGGGCUUAACCUGGGAACUGCAGCCGAAACUACAAGCCUUGAAUGUCUGAGGGGUUAGUGGAAUUCCUGGUGUAGGAGUGAAAUCCGUAGAUAUCAGGAGGAACAUCGGAGGCGAAGGCGGCUAACUGGCAGUACAUUGACGCUGAGGUGCGAAAGCGUGGGGAGCAAAC